GGAAGGGUGAGCUGUUGAACCUUAUCUUCUUUGAACCUACCGUUGUUCCCAACAAGGUCUUCUAAAGGGCUUACCUGUCCGUCUGGCUGGCAGCAUACACCUUGCAGAACAGGUGUGAGAAGAGCAAGAGCCUUUGGAAGACUAGGAGCUUCUUCUUUUCCUCUUGAAGUGAAAACAAGUCAUAGAAACAAGGUUCCGCGCGGUCUCCUUGUCGUCCUGGUAACGUCCCCAUUCUGCAUCUCCUAACCUCCUCUCCCCAGGCUGCCCCUUUCCCGCUGUCCAUCUGCAGAUACACUGCUGAGUACGUAGAGCACUUCGUGUUCUGUAAUUUCCGUGCCUGGAUGUUUCUCUUGAGGCUCGUUCCACAUCGGCUGUAUAUUUUGCUGUCACCACGGCACCUGGACAGGUCAGUUGU
rnacentral:lncRNA from 1 species